AUUGAACGCUGGCGGCAGGCCUAACACAUGCAAGUCGAACGAGUGGCGGACGGGUGAGUAAUGUCUGGGAACCUGCCCGAUGGAGGGGGAUAACUACUGGAAACGGUAGCGAAUACCGCAUACCAUCAGAUGGGCCCAGAUGGGAUUGGCUGGUUGGUGGGGUAACGGCUAACCAAGGCGACGAUCCCUAGCUGGACGGAGAGGAUGACCGGCGACACGGGAACUGAGACACGGUCCAGAGUCCUAAGGGAGGGAGCAGUGGGGAAUAUUGCACAAUGGGCGCGAGUCUGAUGCAGCCAGGCCGCGUGUAUGAAGAAGGCCUUCGGGUUGUAAAGUACGUUCAGCGGGGAGGCGUUACCCGCAGAAGAAGCACCGGCUAACUCCGUGCCAGCAGCCGCGGUAAUAC
rnacentral:rRNA from 1 species